AAAGUACUCCCUCCGUCCCAAAAUUCUUGUCUUAGAUUUGUCUAGAUACUGAUGUAUCAAGUCACAUUUUAGUAUUAGAUACAUUUGUAUCUAGACAAAUCAAAGACAAGAAAUUUGGGACAGAGGGAGUAGUUG
rnacentral:pre_miRNA from 1 species